rnacentral:rRNA from 1 species
AUUGAACGCUGGCGGCAGGCCUAACACAUGCAAGUCGAGCGGAUGAAGGGAGCUUGCGCCUGGAUUCAGCGGCGGACGGGGGAGUAAUGCCUAGGAAUCUGCCUGGUAGGGGGGGAUAACGUCCGGAAACGGGCGCUAAUACCGCAGACGACCUGAGGGAGAAAGUGGGGGAUCUUCGGACCGCACGCUAUCAGAGGAGCCUAGGUCGGAUUAGCUAGUUGGUGGGGUAAAGGCCUACCAAGGCGACUAUCCGUAACUGGUCUGAGUGGCUGAUCAGUCACACUGGAACUUAGCCACGCUCCAUACUCCUACGGUACGCAGCAGUCGGGAAUAUUGGACAAUGGUCGAAAGCCUUAUCCAGCCAUGCCGCGUGUGUGACGACGGUCUUCCGAUUGUAAAGCACUUUAAGUUGUGGUGAAGGGCAGUAAGUUAUUACCUUGCUGUUUUGACGUUACCAACAGAAUAAGCACCGGCUAACUUCGUG